UACGGAGGGUGCAAGCGUUAUCCGGAUUCACUGGGUUUAAAGGGCGCGUAGGUGGCCUUCUUAGUCAGACGUGAAAUCCCCAGGCUUAACCUGGGAACUGCGUCUGAUACUGGAAGGCUUGAGUUCGGGAGAGGAAUGUGGAAUUCCAGGUGUAGCGGUGAAAUGCGUAGAUAUCUGGAGGAACACCGGUGGCGAAGGCGGCAUUCUGGACCGAAACUGACGCUGAGGCGCGAAAGCCAGGGGAGCAAACGGG
rnacentral:rRNA from 1 species